rnacentral:rRNA from 1 species
AUUGAACGCUGGCGGCAUGCCUUACACAUGCAAGUCGAACGGCAGCACGGGUGCUUGCACCUGGUGGCGAGUGGCGAACGGGUGAGUAAUACAUCGGAACAUGUCCUGUAGUGGGGGAUAGCCCGGCGAAAGCCGGAUUAAUACCGCAUACGAUCUACGGAUGAAAGCGGGGGACCUUCGGGCCUCGCGCUAUAGGGUUGGCCGAUGGCUGAUUAGCUAGUUGGUGGGGUAAAGGCCUACCAAGGCGACGAUCAGUAGCUGGUCUGAGAGGACGACCAGCCACACUGGGACUGAGGCACCGCCCAGACUCCUACGGGAGGGCGCAGUGGGGAAUUUUUGACAAUGGGCGAAAGCCUGAUCCAGCAAUGCCGCGUGUGUGAAGAAGGCCUUCGGGUUGUAAAGCACUUUUGUCCGGAAAGAAAUCCUUGGCCCUAAUACGGUCGGGGGAUGACGGUACCGGAAGAAUAAGCACCGGCUAACUACGUG